rnacentral:lncRNA from 1 species
GUAUGGUGGUGGACCAUGUGGAGGAGGAUUCAGAAGCAUCUUUCUGACAUCCCAAGAGCAAAGCUGAGAGGAGUUUCUUGGGAGAUUACUGGAUGAAGCACUCUGCGGACAAAGGCUUCGGUGGUGAGCCAAAAGAAAAAAGAAAGGCUCACAAGUUUUCAAGGAUGCAGCUAUCAUGGAUCCAUGCCACAAAAUCGUUCAUUGCCUACUCAGCCCAUUGCAUCACUAAAGAUUGUUCUCAGGCCCUGAGUUUUGCUUCAAGCAUAUUAUCAUCUUAAAAUUUUACUUUCCUAGACUUACAUAAAUUGAUACAGAGUAAAAUAAGUAGAACCAGGGGAACAUCGUACACAGUAACAGCGCUAUGAUGGAAUGAUCAGCUGUGAUCAGCAAUACAAUGAUCCAGGACAAUUCUGAAGGACUUACAACAAAGAAUGCUAUGUACCUCCAAAGAAAGAACUGUUGGAGUUGAAAUGAAGAUGAAAGCAUGCAUUUUUCACUGGUUUAUUUGGGGGUUUUAGUUUUUUAUGAUUAUUCACUUACAAAAUUAUUCAUAUGAUUGUUCACUUACAAAAAUGAACAGUAUAGAAAUAGGUUUUGCAAAAUAAUACAUGUAUAACCCAGACUGAAUUACUUGCCAUCUUUGAGAGGGGGAAGAGAAGGGAGGAAAGGAGACAAUUUGGAUUAUAUAACUUCAGAAAACAUGUGGAAAUUUAUUAUUACAUGUAAUUGGUAA